CCAUUGCCGGAGGCACGCCUCCUGGAUUUAUCCAGCUGGUUUACCGUCGGCGCCGGCGGGGGCGACAUUUAUCUCUGCGUGUUGCGUGCCCGACCCCGCUUAUUACUCCUUAGCCUACUCCUACUUUCCGUGGGACUAGGCCUUUUCCUACUCCCCGCUCGAUAGAGCGGCACACAUUA
rfam:Hepatitis C virus subtype 2a isolate G2aK3, complete genome.